rnacentral:rRNA from 1 species
CACAGUGUAGCAAUACAUGGGUGGCGACCGGCAAACGGGUGCGGAACACGUACGCAACCUUCCUUCAGGCGGGGAAUAGCCCAGAGAAAUUUGGAUUAAUACCCCAUAAUAUUUUGAGAUGGCAUCAUCUUAUUAUUAAAGCUACGGCACCUGGAGAUGGGCGUGCGGCUGAUUAGGUAGUUGGCGGGGUAAUGGCCCACCCAAGCCUACGAUCAGUAGCUGAUGUGAGAGCAUGAUCAGCCACACGGGCACUGAGACACGGGCCCGACUCCUACGGGAGGCAGCAGUAAGGAAUAUUGGUCAAUGGACGCAAGUCUGAACCAGCCAUGCCGCGUGGAGGAUGAAGGUCCUCUGGAUUGUAAACUUCUUUUAUCUGGGACGAAAAAAGGGUUUUCUAACUCGUCUGACGGUACCAGAUGAAUAAGCACCGGCUAACUCCGUGCCAGCAGCCGCGGUAAUACGGAGGGUGCAAGCGUUAUCCGGAUUCACUGGGUUUAAAGGGUGCGUAGGCGGGCAUUUAAGUCAGUGGUGAAAUACCUGAGCUUAACUUGGGAACUGCCAUUGAUACUAUUUGUCUUGAAUGUCGUGGAGGUUAGCGGAAUAUGUCAUGUAGCGGUGAAAUGCUUAGAUAUGACAUAGAACACCUAUUGCGAAGGCAGCUAACUACGCGAAUAUUGACGCUGAGGCACGAAAGCGUGGGGAUCAAACAGGAUUAGAUACCCUGGUAGUCCACGCCCUAAACGAUGAUUACUCGACAUUAGCGAUACACUGUUAGUGUCUGAGCG